AAUACUUCACAUUUUUUUUUCACGAAACAAUAUCGAUCUCUCAUCAGCAACAAAAAGGUUAAAAUUUACGCACAAUAAUGUUACAUGGUAUACAUAAUUAUGAUAAAAUCUCAAGAAUAUAACUAUUAGUCCUUUUAGUAAUCAUUAAUAUGAGCGUCAGUUUCCCCUAAUCAUUGGUUCGUCAUUUCUAUAUUUUACACUUUGUUUUAUAACUUUUAUUGAGCAAUACUUUUAUACGAUGUUUUUCACUCACGCAAAUUAAUUGCGCAUUAAACGCACGGAAAAACGUUAAAGAUGCUGUACAGUCCAUUCUACGCAUGCGUAUAUUGGAGCCUCCUGCCGUGAUAUAAACAGUUUAAUUAAUUAAGUAGGUUUUUAUGUUCUUGAAAAGCCUGAUUGUUGUGUCUUGAUCAUUUAUUAUACUCUAGAAUCAUGAAAAUAUAAAUAGUUGUCGAAUAAAGUUCAAUAUUUUGGAAACAAAAAUGUAAACAAAGGGUUUGUUUACAUACGGUUUUGUUUACUAUUAGCUCCAGACGAAGGGCCUUUCGCUCAAAACGUCGAAAUUCUCCUUAUAUUUUUUACAGACAGUUGCAUCCUUACGGCAACGAAGGCUUGUUAAUUUUGUAUAGUACGGACUGUACGGCAUCUUUAAAUUUAUUUCAUUAAUACUCAUAUUACAAACGCAUAUACUACAGCAUUAAUUAAGUGCUGUUACGUAUAAUUACGAGGAAUAUUACAUAUAUUACAUUUAGAAAAAUUUACAUUCUGUGCGUAUACGUCCGCAUAAAAAAAACAGGGUUGGUAGGUUCUUGCGCAUGCUAGAAGCCAAAUGCUAUUGAAAAAGUAGCCAAAAUCUACCAAAAGAGGCCAAACAACUUUUUGUUCGAAAGAAGCGGUAAAAAAGAAGGCAAACGCGGACUUCUGCGAACACAGUGAUAUGCUCAAUCAUGAUUGGUUCAAUUUUAUCAGCUGUAUAAUUGGCUGGAUUUCAUUAAUCCUGAUUGGCUAGAAUCACAACCAGGUUAUUUCUGGAAUCAACCUGAAAAAAGCGAUACUUUAUUUCAAAAUAUUAAUCAAUAAUGAAUUUCACAAAUUAAAAUUCUUGUAAGCUGUGAGGUCGAUUUGUUUGGCUUCCAAGAGUUUACCAACCCUGAUAAAAGAAACGUAUAAAUGAAGGGCUGUGAUCUUGUGUACCGAUGACAUCACAAUGACGUAAUCACAAGAAUUCAGUUCUUUCGGUGACAUUACGAGAAUCAGAUCGGCCCCCCAACGAGCGUCCGCCAUUACUGUACUGUGCGUCGCUUCCUUCUUUUUGCAAUCCCAAGUACUUGCUCACGAAGCGCCUUACUCCAUGGCACACGACUCGCCGGAAGUCGUGCUUGAACAAAAUGUACAAAAUUGGAUUGACCAAUGGAGUGCUGCAACGUAGUAUAUCUCCUGUUUCAAGCAGCCAAACAGGGAGGUUGUCAUCCCACAUUUUGAUGGAAUGCAUUAUGAUCCUGGCGUAAUAAAAAGACCACGAUACCACAAAGUAAAACAUCAUGACCGCAAACAAGGCUAGAACCCUCGUCUCUUUUUGCAAACGCUGUUGCGAAUCCCGAGGGCCGACCGAUGUUUUCUCGAUUCCGUCUAACUGCCGACGAACGACGAAGAAUACACUGACGUCAGCAUAAAGUAAAAGCAGCACAGGUAACCCAACAAAUAUGGCCAUAAUUGAAAAUGUGUAAAUUUUCUCGGUUUUGGCGACUUUAUCGGACCAAUCCUCAAUGCAUGAUGCUUCUGUUGGUGGCAACCAUAUAUACUGUAUCGGCGGAAUUAAAAUGCUAAUAAACCACAGACAUGCUGAUAGUUUUAGCUCAAAACUAACUCGACCUAUUUGCUGCAUUCGGAACGGGAACACUAUUUUUAUGUAACGUUCGUACGAUAUCACGAGAAUGUGUAGCACGGUCGAGAUGGACGUGAACACGACAAAGGAGUACGAGAACACGCAUGGCAGGCAUACCGGCACGGUCGAGCACACAAGUGCCAAGGGAAGUCCUACCAGUCCGUAAAUCAAGUCAGAGACGCUCAAGCUGAGGAGCAAAAAGUUGUAAGGUUUUCGAAGAUUCUUGUUGAAAGAAAACAGUAGAAUAACAAAUGUGUUCAUCAGUACGAUAAGUACGGUUAAAAUGACGUAAGGUAGAUGCUUUGACGUCACAAAUUUCAUUUCGGAGUCGUCGAUAUUAGAACUGUUCGUGCCAUUCAACUUUGUGUCAUUGUCAUCCAUGAUGUUAGAAAUGAUCUCGUGGAAAGCUUCGUAGUUUACCGUCUUCGUACCU
rnacentral:lncRNA from 1 species